GUAGGUGGCAAGCGUUGUCCGGAAUUAUUGGGCGUAAAGCGCGCGCAGGCGGUUCUUUAAGUCUGAUGUGAAAGCCCACGGCUCAACCGUGGAGGGUCAUUGGAAACUGGAGAACUUGAGUGCAGAAGAGGAAAGCGGAAUUCCACGUGUAGCGGUGAAAUGCGUAGAGAUGUGGAGGAACACCAGUGGCGAAGGCGGCUUUCUGGUCUGUAACUGACGCUGAGGCGCGAAAGCGUGGGGAGCAAACAGGAUUAGAUACCCUGGUAGUCCACGCCGUAAACGAUGAGUGCUAAGUGUUGGGGGGGUUUUCCGCCCCCCUUAGUGCUGCAGCUAACGCAUUAAGCACUCCGCCUGGGAGUACGGCCGCAAGGCUG
rnacentral:rRNA from 1 species